AGAGGAUCAUAUACGCCGGUAGGAAGGACGGGCUGGAAUCUCUCGGGGUUACAGCCUUGCUGAAUUAUUCACCCUUGUCUUUUGCGUACUUCUUGUUUCCUUGGUGGGUUCGCCCACCACUAGGACAAACAUAAACCUUUUGUAAUUGCAAUCAGCGUCAGUAACAAAUUAAUAAUUACAACUUUCAACAACGGAUCUCUUGGUUCUGGCAUCGAUGAAGAACGCAGCGAAAUGCGAUAAGUAGUGUGAAUUGCAGAAUUCAGUGAAUCAUCGAAUCUUUGAACGCACAUUGCGCCCUUUGGUAUUCCAAAGGGCAUGCCUGUUCGAGCGUCAUUUGUACCCUCAAGCUUUGCUUGGUGUUGGGCGUCUUGUCUCUAGCUUUGCUGGAGACUCGCCUUAAAGUAAUUGGCAGCCGGCCUACUGGUUUCGGAGCGCAGCACAAGUCGCACUCUCUAUCAGCAAAGGUCUAGCAUCCAUUAAGCCUUUUUUUCAACUUUUGACCUCGGAUCAGGUAGGGAUACCCGCUGAACUUAAGCAUAUCAAUAAGCCGGAGGAA
rnacentral:rRNA from 1 species